GUGCUCGCUUUGGCAGCACAUGUACUAAAAUUGGAACUAUACAGAGAAGAUUAGCAUGGCCCCUGUGCAAGGAUGACACACGAAUUCGUGAAACAUUCCAUAUUAAA
rnacentral:snRNA from 1 species